rnacentral:rRNA from 1 species
GACGAACGCUGGCGGCGUGCUUAACACAUGCAAGUCGAACGGUAAGGCCCUUCGGGGUACGACGAGUGGCGAACGGGUGAGUAACACGUGGGUGAUCUGCCCUGCACUUCGGGAUAAGCCUGGGAAACUGGGUCUAAUACCGGAUAGGACCAUGGACUUCACGGUUUGUGGUGGAAAGCUUUUGCGGUGUGGGAUGGGCCCGCGGCCUAUCAGCUUGUUGGUGGGGUAAUGGCCUACCAAGGCGACGACGGGUAGCCGGCCUGAGAGGGUGUCCGGCCACACUGGGACUGAGAUACGGCCCAGACUCCUACGGGAGGCAGCAGUGGGGAAUAUUGCACAAUGGGCGCAAGCCUGAUGCAGCGACGCCGCGUGAGGGAUGACGGCCUCGGUUGUAAACCUCUUUCAAUAGGACGAAGCGCAAGUGACGGUACCUAUAGAAGAA